AAGUGUUUCUAAACCAGCGUCAACACCGCCGUCAAAGAGCAGGCCUUCACCAUCCUCUGUGACCUGCUGCUGAUCUUCAGCCAUCAGAUCAUCUCAGGGGGGAGGGAAGCUCUCGAGCCCCUAGUAUACACACCUGAGGCGUCCCUGCAGUCCGAGCUUCUCAAUUUCAUCCUGGACCACGUCUUCAUUGACCAGGAUGAAGACAGCAACAGCACAGAUGGGCAGCAGGAUGAUGAAGCUGGAAAAAUCGAAGCUUUGCACAAGAGGCGAAACCUGCUGGCCGCAUAC